rnacentral:lncRNA from 1 species
CGGUGCGGCCUCUAUAAUAAGCAGAAAAAAGCACAACCAAGCAAGCAAGGGGAAUCUAAUGCAGUUUCCAGAUCUCGAUAAUUUUAUGGCCCCUGUCUGCAGCUGGCUUUUAGGACCUGGGAAUAAAUGAACUGCAUAUAUAAUAAAGAGAUGCCGAGCUGAAUGCUCCACUACUGUGGAAAUGUUGUUUUCUAAACCGUACAUUUAGUUGCAAGCAGCACCAUACAUAAAUUAUGCUGCCAUGUUAGAAUUGUUCUGGUUCAAGUCUUUGCCAAAGGGGGUGGGAGGAA